rnacentral:misc_RNA from 1 species
AUUUUUUUUUUUUGGGAAAAAAAAAUCUUGAUUUCGUGAAGCUUCCACUUAUCAUGGUUCUUUCGUAUAAAUGAGAACUCAAUGGAAUCAGCAAGAUAGCAUAAUUAACAUCCAAAUGCUUGCUUUGUCUUCUGGGAAUUUAGUUUAUUGAAGUUAAUAGAGCGAUUGAGGAUAAAGUAUGUUCAUUAAUCAGUAUGAUACCUCCUGAGUCCUGACUAAUAUCUGUGUUCCUUGGAAGUUGUCCAGCUUAACAGGAUAUAGGGUUG